CCCACCUUUACAAGAGUUUCUUACUUCUCUUUCUCUCUCUCUUUCUUUAGGUGAGAUAAGGAGUCUAGAGGGGGUUGCAGGUGGUCAGAAAUAUGAGGGAUUUGUCUUGGCUGUUCACCAUGGAGAUCUGGCAGAGUUUCUGGAGUUAGAACCCAUGAAAAUUGAUCUGUGUGCUUUGAGUGAAGCUGACUCCUCUACUUCCUCCACAUGUGACUUUUAACUGGCCAAUCAGAGUCAUAAGUUUUCUGGGACAUACUGAUUUGUUCCUGUGAUCCCACUGGAGCCAAUGGGAUGUGAAAGGAAAUACAUUGUAUAGCUAUGGGAUCAUUAUGCUUAACCAACUGAGCCACCCAGAUGCCCCUGCUAUGGGAUCAUUAUGGCAUUAUGGGAUCAAAAGGGAGGAGCUUCAUGACAAUCACCCUAACACAGAGGAAGAUAGAUUACUGAAGAAAGGUCAUGUGAGGACAGAAUAAGAAGUUGGCCAUCUGCAAGCCAGGAAGAGAGACCUCACCAUGAACCAAAUCAGGCUGCACUUUGAUCUUGGACUUUCCAUCAUCCAGAACUGUGAAAAAUAAAUCUCUAUUGUUUAAUCCAC